CAGGAACAAGGCAAGUGCUAGGUGCCCUCAUCCCAGGCCUGCUCCUUUUCUAAUAGGAUUCACCAUUGAUUAGGCUCCAGCCUGGAACACCUCGCAGAAAGAGAAAGGAAAAAGAGUCAUCGACCAUCUACAGUGAUACAAGGAAACGGUGUCGACUACCCCCUCAGACUGCAAAGCACUGUCCAAAUGUGAUAUGUCUACUGAGAAGAGAGCUUGCUGAGAGGUGUUCUCAACCUUCUGCAGGAUACAGAUUUCUCCUAAACCCUACUGUUUUUCCCUAGGACACUACAGAUUUAGUGAGAAUGUAAAGGAGAUAACAAAGGAGAAGCUAAAGAUUGUCAGCUCACACCUCCUUCCUGUAUAGAAUGUCCUUCGUCUGGAAUCUGGCAGAAGAAUCAUUCAAAGAAGGGAGGCUUAUUCUGAGGAAAUGCACCAAUUAAGACUAUAAAUUCAGAAAUGGAAGUAUAAAAAGAGCCCUACCUCGUGGUAUCACGCUUCUGACCACUGCAAUUUUCAGAUGUUCUCGAGGAUCAAAGACAGGACUACAUCUGUCCAUGGUUUUCACUUCAUCACCUUGAGCUUGAAGUAAUUAAAUAGGAAUAAAGAGAUAAUCUGCUUGUGUUGAAAUAAGGUUUGAAGGAACUUCAGAUUCCUCCUCCAUUAUUUUCUUCUUUACUUGUAAUGCUAUCUAUUUAGCUUACUGUUUUUAAAAAAUGCUAGGUGUUUAUUUUAAAAAUGCAAACAAUAGAAAAAAACAUGAUACAGGUAAAAAAUCACAUUAAAUUCCAACAUAGAAGUAUUUGUCAUUAACAAUUGGUGAACCUCACUCAAGGUAUCUCUUUGUGGAUGUGUUCAGAAAGAGAAAGAGACUGGAUCAAUAGCAAGAAGUAAUUUAAGGAAA